AGAGUUUGAUCCUGGCUCAGAACGAACGCUGGCGGCGUGGAUAAGACAUGCAAGUCGGACGAGAUUUUCCGUUGUAGCAAUACGAUGGAAAGUCUAGUGGCGAACGGGUGCUUAACACGUGGGCAACCUGCCAAGAAGUGGGGGAUAGCUCGCCGAAAGGCGAAUUAAUACCGCAUGUGAUCAGAGAGGACAUCCUUUCGAAAUUAAAGUCGGGGCAACCUGACGCUUUUUGUGGGGCCCGCGGCCUAUCAGCUAGUUGGUGAGGUAACAGCCCACCAAGGCUUUGACGGGUAGCUGGUCUGAGAGGACGACCAGCCACACUGGGACUGAGACACGGCCCAGACACCUACGGGUGGCAGCAGUCGAGAAUUUUUGACAAUGGGGGAAACCCUGAUCGAGCGACGCCGCGUGGAGGAUGAAGGUCAUCGGAUUGUAAACUCCUGUCAUUGGGGAACAAGGUGCAUACGUUAACUGCGUGUGCGUUGAUAGUACCCGAAGAGGAAGAGACGGCUAACUCUGUGCCAGCAGCCGCGGUAAUACAGAGGUCUCAAGCGUUGUUCGGAUUCAUUGGGCGUAAAGGGUGCGUAGGCGGCGCGGUAAGUCGGGUGUGAAAUCUCGGAGCUUAACUCCGAAACUGCAUUCGAUACUGCCGUGCUUGAGGACUGGAGAGGAGACUGGAAUUUACGGUGUAGCGGUGAAAUGCGUAGAUAUCGUAAGGAAGACCAGUGGCGAAGGCGGGUCUCUGGACAGUUCCUGACGCUGAGGCACGAAGGCCAGGGGACAANNGGGAUUAGAUACCCNNGUAGUCC
rnacentral:rRNA from 1 species